rnacentral:rRNA from 1 species
UACGUAGGGUGCAAGCGUUGUCCGGAAUUAUUGGGCGUAAAGAGCUCGUAGGCGGUUCGUCGCGUCGGCUGUGAAAACCUGAGGCUCAACCUCAGGCCUGCAGUCGAUACGGGCGGACUUGAGUACUGCAGGGGAGACUGGAAUUCCUGGUGUAGCGGUGAAAAUGCGCAGAUAUCAGGAGGAACACCGGUGGCGAAGGCGGGUCUCUGGGCCGAUACUGACACUGAGGAGCGAAAGCGUGGGGAGCGAACAGGAU